rnacentral:lncRNA from 1 species
AUGUGCUGCUGCUUCCACUUCCUUACGUGCUCUAUGCAUGGAACAGAGCCCCUCUCCAAGGAGACAGCUAUAAAGAGAGCUCAGUCAGAAGACCUGGCACAGCCAGAGCAGCAACCUGGUGCCCUUUUCAUCCCUUUUCCCUGUUUUUUCUAUGCUUGUUCCUUCCCAGGCUGCACUGGUCCCUCCCUUUCCGCCCUUCUUUGUUCUUCCCACAGACAUUCCAUGUUAAGCCCUGCACAAUCCCCAAGGCUCUUCUUGGAAUCCCCUAACAAGUCUGUGUGCCUUUGGGUAAUCACGCCUUGUGUUUUCUGGACAGACAAGAGAGCGCUGCGCUCCUUGGGGCAGACACAGGGGCCAUGGCGCUGCAGCCUUCAGGAUGGGCUCCUGUGCCGGUACUGGAUGGGAAGACUGUUGAAUAUUUUCACUAGGAGGUCACAGGAAUGGUGGCAUGGUGGAGUGUGGAGAUGUUGGUUGCUACUGGAAAGUAAAGCCUGUGUUUUUAUGGGGCACCCACGCUUGUCUGGCCGUCGUGAUGCACCAGCGCUGCUUGGCAGGUGUUCCUUUCCUAUGGUAACACUGGAGUGAGUAG